rnacentral:rRNA from 1 species
GAUGAACGCUAGCGACAGGCUUAACACAUGCAAGUCGAGGGGCAGCACGGGAGUAGCAAUACAACUGGUGGCGACCGGCGCACGGGUGAGUAACGCGUAUGCAACCUACCUAUCAGAGGGGAAUAACCCGGCGAAAGUCGGACUAAUACCGCAUAAAACAGGGGCACCGCAUGGUGAUAUUUGUUAAAGAAAUUCGCUGAUAGAUGGGCAUGCGUUCCAUUAGGUAGUUGGUGAGGUAACGGCUCACCAAGCCGACGAUGGAUAGGGGAACUGGGAGGUUGGUCCCCCACACGGGUACGGAGACACGGACCAGACUCCUACGGGGGGCAGCAGUGAGGAAUAUUGGUCAAGGGGCGGGAGCCUGAACCAGCCAAGUCGCGUGAAGGAAGAAGGAUCUAUGGUUCGUAAACUUCUUUUGCAGGGGAAUAAAGUGCAGGACGUGUCCUGUUUUGUAUGUACCCUGAGAAUAAGGAUCGGCUAACUCCGUGCCAGCAGCCGCCGUAA